UGAAGGGGUUUGUGGGAAAUUCGGGAAGGGAAGGAAAACGAGGGAAGAGGAUUAAGGCGUGAAGAGGGAGAAGAAGAAGAAAAUAUAGGUAAGUGAAGGUAAGAAGGGGAAAUGAGAGAAAGAGGCAUGGUGAAAGUGAGAGUAACGAAUGGGAAGAGAAGAGAAUCUCACACACAAAAUGGGACCGCAGACGCAGAGGAUGAAUAAAAGCACGAUGGGAAAACGGUGGAUGGGAAAUAAUAUUGUGGCUACUAAAUAUUUUCUCAAAUUUCUCUUAAUUUUCAAUUUUUUUAUCUCAUGAAUAUGAGUUUUUUUAUGAAAUAACCUCUUUUAAAAAAAAAUCCAAUCUACUAUAGUUUUUUAGAAAACAAUACAUUUUUUUAAAAAUGGGAAAAUAAAAAGAAAAAAACAAAUUCAGAAAAUUAUCUAGAAAAUAAGGUCAGAAAAUUAUCUAGAAAGUAAAGUCUAGCAUCAGUUAGUAGGAGCGUGACUAUUCAAAUAUGAGGUUCCGCAAAAGACCGGUAUGUCACAUCAUUACUUGUUUCAUAUUUUGCUAGGUAAUUGGAGUCGCUAUCGAGGUUUCGAAUCGGAUAACGAGGAAACCGGGACUGAACAAAAGAAUGCCCUCACCCUCAAAAGGGAGAGAGAAAUGGAAAAUUAGAAGAGUCGACACCGAAUUUUAUUUUGAUUUCCUCUAUGGGAGAGAACAGAGGAAAUAGUCGAUAAAACUCUCGAAAGAAAAAGGUGUGCACAUGAAGCGCAAAGGUACGGAUAAAGAAUCGGUCUUGCAACCGAGACUUGGGUUCGGAAGUCGGUUACGCAAGGAAAAGGUAUUAGCACCCCUCACGUCCAUAGUACUCCAUGGGAAUCAUUUGGGUUGUUUACGUAUGUGGGUAUUUAUUUAUUUAUUUAUAUUUACUCUUAUUUGCAAAAAUGAGUGUGAAAGAGAUUGUUUUGGGUUUUUUAUUAUUGUGCUUGUCAAGUAUUGUGGCCCUUGUGCCUACGUAUCACUCAUUUGGUGAUGAGGAAUCAAAGCUCCGUAGUUUAGUGUAGAAAGUGUUUGUGUGUUGGUUGAUUUUACCUUUGAGAAAAUGGUUUUCGGGGUGGUGCCUUAAGGCACAAAAAAUAAGGUUUGAUGGGUUGUAUUGUUUUUACCUUGAAUAAGGGUUUACGAAAAAAGAGUUUGUGAUUAGAUUGUACUAAAGUCUAUGGGCGGAGGUGAAAAUUCUAGACAACAAGUCAAACGUCUUGCGUCCAAAAUAAUCAGAGUAAGGGUAGGAAAGCUCCAUUCUUACUUAUUCUCCACCACUUAAGAUUCAUGGUGCACAAUGCUAAUCGUAGUUUUAAUGUAUUUUGAAUUUGAUUAGGAAAAUGUCACUUGAUGUUGGAUGAUUGAUUUGUUUAUUUGAUUCGGAAAUUGGGUAAUGUAACAAGUAUACAAAGUAACCAACAAGAAAAUAAAUAAUCUCAUUGUAAGGUAGCCCAAGAGAAAGUUUUCUGCGUGCAAAAGUAACAUAAGCUAAACAAAGGAUAUCUAUAUAAAUAAAUGUAUGUAUAUAUAAAUAAAUGUAUAUUUAUAUAUAAAUAUAUAUAUAUAUAUAUAUAUAUAUAUAUAUAUAUAUAUAUAUAUAUAUAUAUAUAUAUAUAUAUAUAUAUAUANNNNNNNNNNNNNNNNNNNNNNNNNNNNNNNNNNNNNNNNNNNNNNNNNNNNNNNNNNNNNNNNNNNNNNNNNNNNNNNNNNNNNNNNNNNNNNNNNNNNNNNNNNNNNNNNNNNNNNNNNNNNNNNNNNNNNNNNNNNNNNNNNNNNNNNNNNNNNNNNNNNNNNNNNNNNNNNNNNNNNNNNNNNNNNNNNNNNNNNNNNNNNNNNNNNNNNNNNNNNNNNNNNNNNNNNNNNNNNNNNNNNNNNNNNNNNNNNNNNNNNNNNNNNNNNNNNNNNNNNNNNNNNNNNNNNNNNNNNNNNNNNNNNNNNNNNNNNNNNNNNNNNNNNNNNNNNNNNNNNNNNNNNNNNNNNNNNNNNNNNNNNNNNNNNNNNNNNNNNNNNNNNNNNNNNNNNNNNNNNNNNNNUAUAUAUAUAUAUAUAUAUAUAUAUAUAUAUAUAUAUAUAUAUAUAUAUUUAUUUAUUUAUAACAGUGACAUAUUAGUGUAAACUUUUUUUUAAGUUAUUUAAUUGCUAACAUUUAUCUUUUAAAGAUGAAUAAGUGAAAUGUUGUAGAUUCAAAUCUGCAACCAUACAAAUGAUAUUUCUGCAUAACUAUCAACUGAAUUGAUUUAUCAAAACAAUCCCUUUUAUUUAAGAGUACUCUCUUCGGUCCUUACUAUAACAAAAAAAACAUUUUUAAUCAAUAAAACCGGAAAAAUAUGUUUUUUUACAACUUAAAGAGUAUUUUUAAGCUAAAAGUUCCAUCCUAGGCCUCUUUAUAAUUAAGGUUGAUUAGAUCAGUUUGCGUACUAAAGAACACACAAGUUUUAAGAAAGAUGUUUAUAGUUCAAACCUUGAAAACUAAUAUACUAACCACUAAUUCAGUAAUACUAUUUUAUUAUAAAAAUUAAAAGGUAGGUAUAUAUCAAUUACCUCUUGACAUUAGUUUUAAUUAUAGUGUAGUACUCUUAAACUUAAGUACCUAUUGCAUUGGCCAAAUUCACAUGUUUGAUCAAUAGACCCGAGUCACAAAACAAGGGAAUAAUUUUGAGUAAAGGGAAAGUAGGCACAUUCUAAGCAAAUCACAUUGUACUUGCAGAACAACAGAUGAUGUUCAAAUCAGGUACCAAAGAAACAAACAAAUUCAACAUGUACCUAAACAAUGCUAUUCAAAGAAGAUCCAGGAUAGAAGGUGGAACAUUCAUUACUAGAUAUUGCAAGAGAAAGUAAAUCAAGUAUUUACACGAAGAACUCAGUAAUGUUGAGCAGCCGAACAAGAUAACCUGAAAUUUUAACCAAAAUUCAACAUGACAUUGACAAGAAAAGUUUAUCUCUCAAUUGAGCAUCCUCUCAAUUGCAGACACAUAAAACUCCUUUGGCAUGGUGCCAACUACGACGUCAAAUUUCUUGCCAUUCUUAGACAAUAAAACCACUGGUACAACGUUAAUUUCAUACUCUUCAGCAAUUUGCUUAUCAGCGUCUGUGUUGAGUACAAAGCACUUGAGUCUUCCAGCAUACUCUGUUGCAACCUCAUCAAUAACUCGGUGUACCAUCCUGCACGGGCCACACCAGUUUGAAUAAAACUCAACAAUGACUGGGGUUUCACUUUUCAGAAUCGAGUUAUCCCACAGGUCCUUGUUAACUGGUGUAGCUGCAGGGCAACAAAGUCGCAUAAAUUAAAAGACCAUCAUAUAAUGAUUCAAAGUUCAAUAUUCAUUGACAUUGCAAAAUUCACAAAAUUAAAACCUUUGCAGGAAGAAACAUUUAUACUUAAGUAUGCUUCAAAAAUCCUUUGCAAUACAGCUAGCAACUUAAACUAAGAAUCAGUAAAGUGAUCAAUAAGGCCUUGCAAAUUUUCUGAAAAUGAAACUACGCAAGUGAUAAAAAGAUCAUAUUGAUCUUUAGGUUUAUGAUGCUCCUAAUCUAUAGUUACAACUUAUAAGAAUAUAUCAGCAUGAUCGGUUAUCUCAUGUCCUUUCAUUCGUCUACUCUACUAGCUAUUUUGGGCACAAAACAAUUCACAGCAAUCAAGUUUUGUAAAACUACACCUCAACUCAAAUGACUAAAGCUUUUAUGACAGCAACAUUGAUGAAUAUGAAUAUUGGCAUAUUCAUUUCUUACAAUAAAACAUAUUAUUAACCUCACACUGAACAUCCAUGAUCCAAAAUGACAGAAAUAUUUAUAGAAACUUGAUUCAUCUUAGCUCUUCAGAUUAUAAAUAAGUACUUGAGUNAGAGGAAAACUAACCUCUUCCUAACCAAUUCACAUUACGAAGAGUUUAGCAAAUAACUUCUUUCUCGUUAGAACUUCUAAAACCACUCUCAAAUGCUCAGCAUGCUCUUCUUCAGAUUGUUCGUAAUACACCCAAAAUGUCAUUCAAUAAAAACACCACAACAAACUGGUCUAGGUACGGAUUGGCGAAAAUUCCUAAGUUCAUAUACUCCGAUGAAUACUCCAGGCGCAUUAGUCACACCAAAAGGCAUUACAGGAAUACUCAUAACUGUCCUACCUUGUCCUGAAAGCAGCCGGUCUUUCUGAAUUAUCCUCAGUUUUUUUCACACGUAUCUGAUGAUACCCAGAAUCUCAAAUCUAUUUUUUGCUUGAAGCACACUCGCACCAACAACUGGUCCAUCAGAUCAUCAAUCCUCGCUGUAAAGGAUAUACCGAUUCUGAUCGUCACUUUGUUCAGUUGCCUGUAGUCCACACACAACCUCAUAGUACCUUCUCUUCUUAACCUAAUAACACUGGUGCCACCCCACGUUGACACACUCGGACGAAUAAACUUCAUUAUCCAACAGAUCUUCCAACUCGACUCUUCAAUUCUAGUUAAAUUCAACAGCCCAGCCAUUACAGCGUACUGGAGCCAUCGAUAUCGGUCUCAGUAACAGGUUACCAAAUCAAUCAGAACUCAACUUCACGCUCUGGCGGCAAUUUCAUUCACUUUCUUCAGGAAACACAUCCAGGAAAAAUCACACAGCCACUGCUACGAUCGCCAAUUCACCAGUUUAUCCUCUCUAGCUCCAGAGUCGCUAACAGCAUAAACACUCCGCCCAUCUGCUCUUCCUCAUUCAUCCUGCCUGGCCUGAUCCGAAAACAAACUCUUUCCUUCCUCAACCUCAGGGCGAGAAAAAAAAUCACAGUCUUAUCAAAACACGUUGAUAUAAACUCUGGAGUUAAACACUCCCAAACAGCUUCAUGACCCAGAUAUAACAUUUCCAAUCCCUGCCACUAUAUGAUGAAGGACACACGAGGUCAUCCAAAGUCUCUACCAAAAUACUCAAGUCCGACAACUCAAACAAACUGAGUAGUUAGUAGUCACUUGAACCUUCGCCCCUAGGAGUAUCAAUCACCUACUAUCCCAUACAUUCUCAAGAUUAUCUCUACUAAGUUUCACUAGGCACAAUCAAAAGAUAUAAAGGAAUGGUUUGCCACCUGUGUCUAAUUAAUAGCUAACAACGAGCGCGCCAUUACAUAUAUCCACACGCUUCUCACCUCGGAUCAAACGAUCACUCCAUGCAGAAGUCUCAGAACCGUCCAUAAAGCAAAGAGCCUUGCCUUCCCCGACUGGGGUUCUCUCUCUUCGGUUAGACACUGUGGCACUGAUAUGACCCACCUCUCCACAGUGAAACAAUGUUUACAGUCUUCAACCGGCACUCUUGCAGCACAUGCACCCACCUUUGCACACUUGAAAACACUUCAUCUCAGCAACUUUGGUACAUACUCUAUGGACACGAUGUCCAGCCGGACCACAUUCUAUAAACACUUUAGCAGGGCACUAUUAGUCUCCGCACCUUGCUCUUUCUGUCAUCCACUCUGUCUCUGAAACCUUUGCCGACCUGCAUUUAUUGGCCACGAUCAUUCUGAUUCUUGGGCCUUUUCCUAUCAACCCUUUGCUGGGAUAGCUCUCUGCUUGGCUUGGAAUCUCGUUUCAAAAAUCCUGCAUACAAUCAACCAAGUCAGGAAAACACUCUGAUCCGUUGGUAUCCAAUAGCCUUGCUUGAUCUCGGACGCAAACCCGUUCUCAAACUUCAACACUAUUUCGAAAAUUCUCCAGGCAGCUCAUUAUAUGGGAGUGUAAUACCUUCGACAGCUCUGGUGACUCAGCCACAUUACUCCGUAACAGACUUGGGUUACCCUGGGCUUCAACACUUCUAAGAACUCUAUCUGUCUUUUUCCUCUGACAUCUUCUGGAAAGUCACUUCCUCUACGAAAUCUCUUCUCGUGAACACAGGCGCACGUCAAAUUUCUUCGCCCAUUCUUAGUACAUAAAAACCAACUGUGUACGAACGCGUAUACCUUCAUAUAGAUUUGUCAUUCCCAUCUAUACAUGUCUGUUUAUCAGGCGUCCCCCAGCAGUUUCCAAAUCCUCGCUGAGUUUGAGUAGCCAGGGAUUCAGUUCAGAGUCUUCCCCAGCCCAAUCUAUCCGUCUUGUUGUCCUAGCACAGUCAUCACUCCAAUAAUUCUCCGGGGUACCCGAACCUGACCUUCUUUGAGAUAUAUACGUGCCACACUCAGUCACUGGGACAGACUACUCGCCAGGGCCACGCUCUCUCGAAUACAAAUCCUCCAACCACUGCACUGGUCCACCAUUCUGGUUUACAUCCUUCUUCAGCCAUCUGAUCAAGAUCUCAUCUCCCUUGAUCAAGGUCCUUAGGCACUUACACUUGGUGUGAUCGUUAGCUGCAUGCGUCCUUGAAACAUUGGUGCCAGACGCAAUUUGUUCUUCUGGGAAAGUCGUCACUCAAAUAAAAGAUUAAAGACAUCAUAUAAUGAUCACGGUGUGAGCAACAGUGACUUUCCCCAUUGACAUUGCAAAAAUUUCCUCCAUAAAAACAUAUUAUAACUUCUCUCUGGCAGGAUGUUACCCUACCUAAUGUUACUCCUAAGUCACCUUAAGUUAUGCCUUCACACAAAAUUCACUUUGCAAUACCAGCUUGAGCAAAGCUUCUAACUAAGGUCAGUUAAAGUGAUAAUUUAACGGGCCUUGCUCCCAGUUCCUAUACUCCUGAAAACAUGAAACUACGGCAAGUGAUAAAAGAUCAUAUGAGUGCAUUCAUAGUGCUAUCCUAUAUACGCUACCUAAUGUAUGACUCUACACAAUCUCUUUAUCAAGUGAAAAUAUCCCCAGCAAUGCAAACUUUCCCAAGAGUAUAAUCAUACAUGUACCAUGUUCAUUCGUCUAUACUGUAGCUACCUGGUUUAAUUCUUGAAGCGACCUAACAUACCCAAGUUUCACGCCGGGAAUCACGAUGUUGUUAAAACUUAUAAAUAUACCCGUGAACACUCUCAGGUAGAACUAAAGUUUUCUAUGACAGCAACACUUGAGCUAUUUGCCUUCGAUAAUUGACAUACUGAAAUCUAUAUUGGUGUAAACACUCCCUUCAUUUCUUCUAAACAUUAUAACAUCUCCCAAUUUAUAAUUCCUUGUCAACAUUAACUGAACAAUAACCAUUAUAGAAAAUCCAUCAAAGUAUGACAGAAAUAUUUUAUAGAAACUUAGAUCAUCUUAGCAGUCUAGAUUAAUUUUAGAUCAAGGUCUUGUCAAAGUGACACCUCACACACUUCAAAAGCUAUCCAGCUGGCUAAAUUUAUAAGUUCAUGAACACCACACACAAAUCUCAAUGUAGCAUCACGAUACUCCUAGCCGAAAUUCAAAACGCGUAGUGUCUAUGUGUUAGUAUAACUGUCUGAAAUUGCACCGACACUUGUUUAGGUCAUGCCUUCUUAUUUUCAUAUGAUUUUCCAAAAACUUAUAAGCAUUUGUGUACACCGUAGUAACGCUGUUAGAAGGCGGAUAGAAAUCUCUAUCCUAAAUCUGUUGCUUAAAAGCAUGUAACAUAUUACAUGUUUGAAUUAUUUCAACAAAAUUAAAAACAUUUCCCAUCCCAUUGGUUACAUCUAUCAGAGCCACGACCCACUCAACGGGAGGUGUGUGUCUGUGUUUCCGGUUUCCGUGCUUCAUACUUCAUAGCUAACAAAUUUCACACACCUUUAAUAAAAAACUAAGAGAGAUUGGAAUAGGUAUAAAGAAUGAAAGUCAAACAAAAAAGUUUGAGCAAAAAAGGGCAAAAAAAAUAUUUGUAGCAUUACUAACUUAGGCAUAAAAAAGACACAGAAUUGGUCAAUAAUCAUCCAGAAACUCCAAAGCAAGAAAGCGUUACAAAUGCAAUUCAAGCCAUCCUAGAUUUUAAUUUUAAAUUUAUAAAAAUUCCAAAGGAUUAGAUCUUGAAUGCACCAUAAAAAAUAGAAUCUUGAUCCUAGCUCCAAAUAAAACCUAACUGAUUCAAAUCUCGUGUUUAUAUGUUUUUGGUUCGAAACACGAAACCCCAAAUUAAUCCGAAAAUAGUAAAGAAAAAUAUAUCAACUUUGGAAGUUCUUACUAAAUUGAUUACCGUAAAGAAUAAAGGAAAGAAAUACCUGUGGUUUGUUGAAGCAGGGAGUGAAUCUUGGGAAAAAGAAGAGAGUUUUAAAGGUGAAGGUGAAGGGGAUUGUGGGAAAUUCGGGAAGGGAAGGAAAACGAGGGAAGAGGAUUAAGGCGUGAAGAGGGAGAAGAAUAAGAAGAAAAUAUAGGUAAGUGAAGGUAAGAAGGGGAAAUGAGAUAAAGAGGCAUGGUGAAAGUGAGAGUAACGAAUGGGAAGAGAAGAGAAUCUCACACACAAAAUGGGAUCACAGACGUAGAGGAUGAAUAAAAGCACGAGGGGAAAACGGUGG
rnacentral:lncRNA from 1 species